GACGAACGCUGGCGGCGUGCUUAACACAUGCAAGUCGACCGAAGAGCGAUUGAAGCUUGCUUCUAUCAAUCUUAGUGGCGAACGGGUGCGUAACGCGUAUUCAACCUGCCCUUCAGCGGGGGACAACAGAUGGAAACGACUGCUAAUACCGCAUACGAUCUAAUCUCGGCAUCGAGGAUUAAUGCAAUGUGGCCUCUACAUGUAAGCUCUCACUAAUGGCGGGGAUUCCGUCUGAUGAGCUAGCUGGGGGGGUAACGGCCGACCAAGGCGAUGAUCGGUAGCAGGACUGGGUGGAUUGACGGCCAGAUUGGGACUGAUGGAAGGCCCAGACGCCUACGGGAGGCAGCGGAGGCGAAACUUCGGAAAUGGACGAAAGGCUGACGAAGCAACGCCGGGAGAGUGAUGACGGCGUUCGGGUUGUAAUGCUUGGUAAAUCGUGACGAAAGGCAUACUAGCGAAAAGCGAUAAGAAUUGACGGUACCGGAAAAGAAAGCCACGGCUAACUACGUG
rnacentral:rRNA from 1 species